rnacentral:rRNA from 1 species
UACGUAGGUGGCAAGCGUUGUCCGGAUUUACUGGGCGUAAAGAGCGCGCAGGCGGUCGUUCAAGUCGCGUGUGAAAGCCCCCGGCUCAACUGGGGAGGGUCACGCGAUACUGAUCGACUCGAAGGCAGGAGAGGGAAGUGGAAUUCCCGGUGUAGUGGUGAAAUGCGUAGAUAUCGGGAGGAGCACCAGUGGCGAAGGCGACUUCCUGGCCUGUUCUUGACGCUGAGGCGCGAAAGCUAGGGGAGCAAACGGG